rnacentral:rRNA from 1 species
UACGUAGGGUGCAAGCGUUGUCCGGAAUUAUUGGGCGUAAAGAGCUCGUAGGCGGUUCGUCGCGUCGGCUGUGAAAACCCGGAGCUCAACUCCGGGCCUGCAGUCGAUACGGGCGGACUAGAGUUCGGCAGGGGAGACUGGAAUUCCUGGUGUAGCGGUGAAAUGCGCAGAUAUCAGGAGGAACACCGGUGGCGAAGGCGGGUCUCUGGGCCGAUACUGACGCUGAGGCGCGAAAGCGUGGGGAGCGAACAGG